AGAGUUUGAUCAUGGCUCAGAAUGAACGCUGGCGGCACGCUUAACACAUGCAAGUCGAACGAGAUCUUCGGAUCUAGUGGCAGACGGGUGAGUAACGCGUGGGAACCUGCCCAGUAGUAGAGGACAACUUGGGGAAACUUAAGCUAAUACUUUAUACGUCCUUCGGGAGAAAGCUUUAUGCGCUAUUGGAUGGGCCCGCGUUAGAUUAGUUUGUUGGUGAGGUAAUGGCUCACCAAGACUACGAUCUAUAGCUGGUCUGAGAGGAUGAUCAGCCACACUGGGACUGAGACACGGCCCAGACUCCUACGGGAGGCAGCAGUGGGGAAUAUUGGACAAUGGGGGCAACCCUGAUCCAGCGAUGCCGCGUGAGUGAUGAAGGCCCUAGGGUUGUAAAACUCUUUCGUCAGGGAAGAUAAUGACGGUACCUGAAGAAGAAGAUCCGGCUAACUCCGUGCCAGCAGCCGCGGUAAUACGGAGGGAUCUAGCGUUAUUCGGAAUUACUGGGCGUAAAGCGAGCGUAGGCGGAUUUGUAAGUUGGAGGUGAAAUCCCAGAGCUUAACUCUGGAACUGCCUUCAAAACUACAUUUCUUGAGUUUGGUAGAGGAGAGUGGAAUUCCUAGUGUAGAGGUGAAAUUCGUAGAUAUUAGGAGGAACACCAGUGGCGAAGGCGACUCUCUGGGCCAAUACUGACGCUGAGGUUCGAAAGCAUGGGUAGCGAACAGGAUUAGAUACCCUGGUAGUCCAUGCAGUAAACGAUGAGUGCU
rnacentral:rRNA from 1 species